AUGCCACCGUCAUGUGGGACACCCGGAUUUCGGGAUCACCCCACCAUCUUGCAUGACUCGUUCACACCCACUUUCUUUUGCACUGGUAUCUCCAUGAGCUAUCGGAACCGAUAUGUUGCCGUGGCAUCAUUUUCGGAUUCGUUGCUGUGGCACCCGUUUUGUUCUGCCAUGGUGACCAAAUGCUUCAUAACAUGCUCAUGUCAACAUUUUCAUAAAAAUUGCAUAAAACUUGCAUAUGUCAUCAGCAUCAUGAUAACAACAAUUAAAAUGUUUAAAAUUGUGUUUGCAUUAAACUACUAA
rnacentral:rRNA from 1 species